rnacentral:lncRNA from 1 species
UUGUGCAUCAACACACUCAAUUAAUAAAUUUAAUAUAAUAAUUAUUAUUAAAUUUUCCAACACGAAUUAUAUCUCAUAAUACAUGGGUGAAUUUGAUAUCAAAUCAAAUUAAAAUUUACCUCUGUUAAGUGGAAUUGGCUUUGAUUCCUCCAAAUAAAGGUAAGAAUAACACAACAUAAAUAUAUACUAAGAAGUUUAAUUGUGCAAUGUUUGUACUGUCAUAUACUUUUUUCAGUACUUCGAGUUCUUAAGGUUUCCACAAAUUCCCAUUGACUAGUUUUGUUUAAUUGAAUGUAAAAGAAAAAGGCCUGGUUUAUAUCAAAUAUGGCUUUGUUAGCUUCACCUCUUUUCAUCAACCUCAAUCAUUAAGUAAUGGAUGGAGGUAGUAAAAGAUAUAAAAUAAUUACAGCUGAAAAUGGUAGGGAAAACACAUGAAGACGACAUGCAAGUACUAGUACUAUUAUAAUUUUAUGUAACAUGCUUGAUCAAAUUUUAUUAUGCCAACAACAAAUUACAUGCAUACAUAUGAUAAACAAGAAAGUGAUGCAAUGAUCAUGUAUUUGGUUAAUUUAAGUCUAUACAAGAAAGAGAUAAUGUCCUUGUAAUAACAAUCAUCUUAACAUUUGUGAAUAACAAAAUUAUACAAAUGGUACAUGAGUAUAUAUGUACAACUAUAAUGGGUACAUGACUAUAUGUGUGUGUGUGUGUGUGUGUGUACAACUAUAAUGAAGCCCAAUAAAAAUUAUUUAGGGAAGAGAGGUUUUUUUUAUUACAACGAUAUUAUUUAUAUUAAGAGGGUGAGGAAUAAAUUUGUGGUGAACUCAUUAUUCUUGAUAUUUGAACCUAAGACCUCUCACUUACAAGUGAAGAAGAAUAGUACUAAACCGUAAUACUAAGUGACAUUAAGAAGAGAAAGUUUGUUAACCUCUUUCUUAGAGUACUGACCAUGUUCCUAACUUUCAUUUGUUACCCUAACCGUCAAUGAAAAACAAUUACAUAAUGAGACUAAAAUAUUAAUUAUACUCAUAUAUAUUAUGAUGUCUCUCUCUCACAUUUUUUUGUUGCGUACAUAGCAUAUGUGGAAUUGGUAGCUCAAUAUAUAUAUAUAUAUAUAUAAAGGAAAUCAACAAUGUUAGAAGAUUUAAUUUCAGUAGAUUCAAACUAGUAAACUAAUUAGAAUGUUUUUCGAAAGUUUCAUUUGUCGGACAAGUCUAAUUAGGACAACGAGGCUUAUCAUAGAAGAGAAAGGGAUUUAGAUGUAACAUCUAUGUGCGUGGCAAUUAUUUCGACUUUGGAACAUCCUAGUUAGUGCCAUAGGCACUAGCACAAUCAAGAGUUAAAUGGCACUAUAAGAUCUUGGUAAGUAAGGGGAAUUGAUAUGUUAUUCUAGCCUAACUUUGUAAAGCUGUAUAAUUUUGAGGCAAUGCAUUUGUCUUAGGAUGUUUCCAUUUCAUUUCAAGUACACUUAACUUGAUUUACAGUAAUAGAAUCAAUGAAAAGAGAAACCAUGAGAUAUUUUUAGUAGAAUAUUAGAGGAAACCUAGCUAUCAUUUGAUAACGAUUUUUCAUUUCAACUUCCUCAUUAUCACAUCAGAAUCAAGUGUGCUGUUUGGCACUUAUUCAAGGUCUUUAAGAUAAACAUAACACAAACUACAAAUUUGUAAUCACAUCAUAAUUUUGUGAUAUCUACUAUAUAUUACUCUUCUUUUGCACUCCAAACCUCUUCGUCUUCGACAUUGUGUAUAAAAGAGCUGUUAUUAGAGUUUAGGCUUCAGAGAAUCCAUAAUAUAUAACAUUGCCAACUUUAUGUAUAAGUGUUUUUAGGGUUUAUGUUUGAGAGAAUAGGUGAUGAUGCUUCUCAUUUGUUAAUGUAUCUCAUAAGAUAUGACAACAAGAAGUACAUAGGAAAAAUCUUGAUGAGACUAAAUAAUAUGUGACACGCCCGAUAUCCUCCAAAUUCCCAAGGUGGGCACAUGCUGGCCGAUACCCAAAGGCGACGAAGCCAUACUAACAUGCAUGUGAAGUAACGAUCAUAAAUAAAACUUAUAAAUUUAAAUACAAUGCUUAUGCAAUUGAGGAACGUGUUCAGAUCAUACAACUAAUCCUAGACACUAAGAAAAAUCUAGAUGUAGGCAAAAAAUGGCAGAGUUCAACGCUUAUAAUAGCUUGUUGUGAAAUAAUAAAUACAAGACUUCAAUUUAUAAAAGAAAUAAAAAACAAACCUAAACUUAAUAGACUAUAAGUCAUAAUCCUUUGCCCCAAAUAAAACCUAGCAAAAUGCCAAUGAAAAUAUAAACUAAUUUUCCAACACCACCUUUAACUACUUCAUGACUGAAUAUCAUGACUAAAGGCAUCCAACUUGGUGCUGUAACAUCUAAAAUUCUUCUCAUUACGAUAUGAUUCAUAUUUUUAGUUUAUAAAAGCACAUGAAACUCUACUCAUCCAACUUUGGAAUCCAUUUUGUACUUUAAUUUGUUCUUGUCAAUUUUUUUGGGCGAAUUAUAUCUCAUAAUACAUGGGUGAAUUUGAUAUCAAAUCAAAUUAAAAUUUACCUUUGUUAAGUGGAAUUGGCUUUGAUUCCUCCAAAUAAAGGUAAGGAUAACACAACAUAAAUAUAAAAUAAGAAGUUCAAUUCUGCAAUGAUUGUACUGUCAUAUACUUUUUUUCAGUACGUCGAGUUCCUAAGGUUUCCUCAAACUCCCAUUGACUAGUUUUGUUUAAUUGAAUGUAAAAUAGAAAAAGGCUUGGUUUAUAUCAAAUCUAGCUUUGUUAGCUUCACCUCUUUUCAUCAACCUCAACCAUUAAGUAAUGGAUGGAGGUAGUAAAAGAUACGAAAUAAUUAGGGUUGAAAAUGGUAGGGAAAACACAUGAAGACGACAUGCAACUACUAGUGCUAUUAUAAUUUUAUGUAACAUGCUUGAUCAAAUUUCAUUAUGCCAACAACAAAUUACGUGCAUACAUAUGAUAAACAAGAAAGUGAUGCAAUGAGCAUGUAUUUGGUUAAUUUAAGUCUAUACAAGAAAGAAAUAACGUCCUUGUAAUAACAAUCAUCUUAACAUUUGUGAUUAACAAAAUUCUACAGAUGGUACAUGAGUAUAUAUGUACAACUAUAAUGGGUACAUGACUGUAUGUGUGUGUGUGUGUGUGUGUGUGUGUGUGUGUAUACAACUAUAACGACCUACUGCAGAAACUGGCCCAAUAAAAAUUAUUUAGGGAUGAGAGGUUUUUUUUUAUUACAACGAUAUUAUUUAUAUUACGAGGGUGAGUGAAUAAAUUUGUGGUGAACUCGCUAUUCCUGAUAUUUGAACUUAAGACCUCUCACUUACAAGUGAAGAAGAAUAGUACUAAAUCGUAGUACUAAGUGACAUUAAGAAAAGAAAGUUUGUUAAUCUCUUUCUUAGAGUACUGACCAUGUCCCUAACUUUCAUUUGUUACCCUAACCUACAAUGAAAAACAAUUACAUAAUGAGACUAAAAUAUUAAUUAUACUCAUAUAUAUUAUGACGUCUCUCUCUCACAUUUUUCUGUUGCAUUCAUAGCAUGUGUGGAAUUGGUAGCUAAAAAUCAAAAUAAAAAAAUAAAAUAAAGGAAAUCAACAAUGUUAUAAGAUUUAAUUUUAGUAGAUUCAAACUAGUAAACUAAUUAGAAUGUUUUUCGAAAGUUUCAUUUGUCAGACAAGUCUAAUUAGGACAACGAGGCUUAUCAUAGAAGAGUAAUGGAUUUAGAUGUAACACCUAUGACAAUAUUGCGUGACAAUUAUUUUGACUUUGGAACAUCCUAGUUAGUGCCCUAGGCACUAGCACAAUCUAGAGUUAAAUGGCACUAUAAGAUCUUGGCAAGUAAGGGGAAUUGAUAUGUUAUUCUAGCCUAACUUUGUAAAGUUGCAUAAUUUUGAGGCAAUACAUUUGUCUUAGGAUGUUUCCAUUUCGUUUCAAGUUCAUUUAACUUUAUGUACACUAAAAGAAUCAAUGAAAAGAGAAACCAAGAGAUAUUUUUAGUAGAAUAUUAGAGGAAACAUAGCUAUCAUUUGAAAACGAUUUUUCAUUUCAACUUCCUCAUUAUCACAUCAGAAUCAAGUGUGCUGUUAGGCACUUAUUCAAGUUCUUUAAGAGAAACAUACCACAAACUACAAAUUUGGAAUCACAUCAUAAUUUUGUGCUAUCUAUUAUAUAUUACUUUUCUUUUGCACUCCAAAUCGCUUCGUCUCUGACAUUGUGUAUAGAAGAGUUGUUAUUAAAGUUUAGGCUUAAGAGAAUCCAUAAUAUAUAACAUUGCCGACUUUAUGUAUAAGUGUUUUUAGGUUUAUGUUUGAGAGAAUAGGUGAUGACGAUUCUCAUUUGUUAAUGUAUCUCAUAAGAUAUGACAACAAGAAGUAUGGAGCAAAAAUCUUGAUGAGACUAAAUAUAUGAGUGAAUUUGAAUCCAAAAUAGUCCCACAUAUAUUGUACACUAAUCCAAACCCUAACAUAUAUAUGAUUAUAUUGGCGACCUUAUGUAUAUUGGAAAUACGUGAUACAUAAGCAAUUGAUAACAUGACAAUUGCUGAUGUGUCAUGUAUAUCCAAUAAAAAUAUUCUCGAACUUUACUGAAUCAGACAUGAUUACUCAAUAAAUAUUUCAACAAAAAACAACAAAUUACAAACCAAGAAUAUAAGAUCUUGAGAAACACUUGUUGAAGAAAAACCCGGAUGCAAAAAACUUGGAAAAAUUCCAAAAAUAUAGGAACUAACAAUCAACAUUAUCACAUCUUAAUGGAAAACUGGUUAUCAACCUUAAUUCAUCAACGAAAACAUGAACAAUGGCAUCGGCCUUCAAGAAAAUUGAAAAAAAUCAACUGGAAUCAAUCUAACCAAUAAAAUUGUCUCAACAUCGGCCUUUAAUUCAGACAAACCAAGAUUGUAAUCUAGAACAAAUGAGCUAAAUUUGAAAAAAAAACCCCCCAAAAUUUGUUUAGAACCCAUCACGCAAGCAAGACUGGCUCAUGGAUACCAUCUUAACAUUCUUGUAUAAUUGCAUAGAUUGAAUAUUAGAAGAAUGAGGAAUCUUGGAGACAAAGCUUGAAGAAGAAGAAAGAAGAUAAGCUCAUAUAUUUCACUAACAGGAAACAAUUAUUACAAUUCAAGUAUAUCCCACAUGUUAGAGAGGGAAAUUUGUUUAUACAUCUCUAUACAAACAUGACUUAAGACUAAAGCAAUAAAUGACAUAACAAUUGCUAAUGUGUCAUGUAUAUCCAAUAAUGUAUACAAGAACUGCUUAUUGGGUUUACGAUUAAGGAAAUACAUGAUAACACUUCUCAUUCGGCAAUGUAUAAGUUAUGAUAAUAACAAGUAUAAAGGAAAAAGAUUGAGGAAACUAAGUAUGAGUGAAUGUGAAUCCAAAUUCAAUCUAAACUAAAUCUCAAAAUGAACUAAUUAUUCAUAAGCACAGUGUGCUUCCAAUUUUGCCCUCACAUUUUUACACUAAUGCUGAUUGUGUCCCUAUACCCCCGUCACACACACACACACACACACACACAGAAAGCCUUUAAGGGAAGGGAUCCCCAUUUUCAAAAAAAAAAUGGGGACACCCUCUUGACCAUUAGAUCUGGCUUUAAUGAAAUUCUAUGGUUGAGAUUAAAUCACAAGCCACAUAAUUUCAUUAAAGCCAGAUCUAAUGGUCAAGAGGGUGUCCCCAUUUUUUUUGAAAAAUGGGGAUCUCUUCCUUUAAAGGGCCUGUCUGUGUGUGUGUGUAUAUAUAUAUAUUGUAUUUCUUUAUUUUUUUUCUUUUUCUUCCUUCCUUUCUUUCUUUUCCCUCUCGCCAUUCUCCGCCAAUUAUGACUCACCAUUGUGGUUAGCGACAAGUUCUUCGUUUUAGCGACUAUAGUCCACAAAACCAAUACCAAUUGAUCUAUCUUGCUCUACUUAAUCAAAUGUUCAUAGCAGUUUUGUGAAUUUCAUAGUCAUUUUUGAGCAAGUAGAGUUAUAUUUUGGAACCUGAUUUUCAGACGAGGCAAUUCCAGUCGAUCGCCUGUGACUUUACCUUGCCAUUACCUAGAACGACUCCUCUCAUUCCCAUGAGAAAUAUUCAGGUAUUGCAUAUUUGAUUUCAAUUCACUUUAAGGUGAAUCAAAGGACACCCUAACCUUUGAAUUUUUCUAGCGAGUUUUCAGAAAUCUGACGGUUAGUUUUGGUUUGACGGCAAGCAAUUGUUAUCCACCACCAUAAUCACCUAUAUCAAGUUGGCUUUGGUGACAACAACAUGAAAUUGGCUUUGGGUAAAGCUUCCACACCCAAAAUAGGAGUAGGAUUCUCUCCCCUCUUUAUUUUUCCUCCCCUUCCCUCCCUUCCUACUUGAAUAGUCACAGUUAAGCUAUGUCAACAUCUUAUAUUAAUUUUUUAUAGCAAGAGAAAGAUAAAAUAAGAGAAUGUGAGACAAGGGGAUAGAAGGGGAUGUGAAGAUGAGGGAAGAGAAUCCUAGUCCAUUGUCUAAAAUACGGGUUUGACUUGGUCAAAUUCGCUAUUCUUGAUGACAGCAUCAUGAAAUUGGCUUUGGGUAACCUCUUUUCUUUGUUGAAUUCUUGAUGAUUUUGAUCUAUGAUUUUUCUUCAUGAUUUUGAGCUAUGAACUCUUUCCUGAUUCUGUGAG